GGGGCGGUCGCCUCCUAAAAGGUAACGGAGGCGCCCAAAGGUUCCCUCAGAAUGGUUGGAAAUCAUUCGCAGAGUGUAAAGGCACAAGGGAGCUUGACUGCGAGACCUACAAGUCGACAGGGACGAAGUCGGGCUUAGUGAUCCGGUGGUUCCGCAUGGAAGGGCCAUCGCUCAACGGAUAAAAGCUACCCCGGGGAUAACAGGCUUAUCUCCCCCAAGAGUCCACAUCGACGGGGAGGUUUGGCACCUCGAUGUCGGCUCAUCGCAUCCUGGGGCUGUAGUCGGUCCCAAGGGUUGGGCUGUUCGCCCAUUAAAGCGGUACGCGAGCUGGGUUCAGACGUCGUGAGACAGUUCGGUCCCUAUCCGUCGCGGGCGCAGGAAAUUUGAGAGGAGCUGUCCUUAGUACGAGAGGACCGGGAUGGACGCACCGCUGGUGUACCAGUUGUUCUGCCAAGGGCAUCGCU
rnacentral:rRNA from 2 species